AAAAUCAUUUCCAGAUUUUACUUAAAACAAUCGAUUGUCAGAAAUCUACAAUCGAUUACUUGGCAACGUUCAAAAAAUCUUUUUCAGAUUUUAUCUAAAACAAUCGAUUAUCAGAAAUCUAUAAUCGAUUACCAGACAGUUUUUGAAAAUAUUUUGGCAACGGUCAAUUACACAAUCGAUCGAUUAUGCUAUGAGAACAAUCGAUUAUAUAUCAGUCUUUGAAAAAUCAAUUAGACACUGCCUUAAUGCACUCGAUUGUCAAAGGUACACAAUCGAUUNN
rnacentral:lncRNA from 1 species